UAGGAACUCCCAAUUCCAGCCGCAUUUUUCCCUUCCGAAUUUCUCGUUCCUCCUCGCCAUUGUCGCCAUUGUCACGGCCAUGGCCGGGAAAGAGAUCUCCAAAAUCCUUCUCCUACACUGCUCCACUGUAAAUCUUUGACUCUGCUCCGGUCAGCCGCAACCGCUCCCAUGUUAAUGUGGUUGACUGGUGGUCCGCGGCGAGCGCAGGCGGUGCGCUGCAGACUGGGCGGAGUUGAGCGCCGAGGGCGGCGGAGCGGGAGCGCGCGGGCGGGCGGGAGACGCGGAGCGGCGGGCCGGCCCGAGGUUGCGGCAGGAGGCGCCGCCGAGGGGCCUGGCGCGAGCUGCGCGGGGUCUUGAUGUCGUCCGGCGAGUCAAUGCAGUGUAAUGGCCAUGUUUUCAACUGCGGAUUAAGUGCUGAAGCUAAAUCCAAUUAUUGCACGUCAAGUUAUGAUCAAAGCAGGAUCUUGUUGGUAUAAAUUUCCAAGAUGUAGUUAGUAAUGUCAAUCAUGCUGAUCUUAUGCAUGGCCUAACUCCUAGGAGGCCUCUCCAAGAGUGAUCUGUUUGAAAGGAAGUCUGGCACAACUCCUGGUCGCCCUUCAGCUAGCAAGAACAUGGUUGUGUUCUGGGAGAACACAUUGUAUAACUACCUGCUUAAUCCUUACAAGGCAGGGGAGAGGAAGAUCCAGGCGAGGAGGGGUCUAUGCUGGGCUCUCCCUCGGCGGAAGUGGAACGGGGUCGGGGAGGUCACCGAACGGAGGAGGGCGGAGAAACAGUGGACUCAUUCGCUGGAUAUAUUGGUAGAUGGAUCCUGGAGGAGGCCGAGGAUCGAGAUUCUCCCAUGGCGGUGGCGGAGCUGCUUUCGACACAUGAGGCGUAAGGAGCAGGCGCCGCAGGCGGACCGGUCCAUAUUUUUGAAGUCAUGAGUUGCUUCUGCUGCUUUCGAUGGGACUCGAGAAACUGCAGAUGUAAUCCAUGCCCUGUAAUUGAUAUCUUAAAUGAGCUAUUCCUGCAACGUUGUUGUUUUGAGGUUUAUAAUGCUGAGCUGUAGAGCCAACUUUGUGUCAUUCUAGUUAUAGCAGGCAGUAAUUGCUAUGAUCAGAAGACAGGCUUCAGGCGUGAGCAUUUGGAUUCCCAUUGCUAGACUAGCAACGUUGUAAAUGCACCUGAUGCAUAAAAUAAAUUGUAGCUCAUUUCUUCUCUACCAAAUAGCUUCAUAUGUAAUGUCAAGAUUGAUGUCAUCUUUGUUGAACUCUGCACUUGAUCAUCUUCAGAUACUCGAAUUAUGAACU